AACACAUGCAAGUCGAACGCGAAAGGGACUUCGGUCCUGAGUAAAGUGGCGCACGGGUGAGUAACACGUAGAUAACCUGUCUUCAUGUCUGGAAUAAUACGCCGAAAGGGGUACUAAUACCGGAUAUUCUUGCUUUUCAUAAGUUAUGCAAGCAAAGGUGGCCUCUGCAUAUGCUACUGCAUGAAGAGGGGUCUGCGUACCAUUAGCUAGUAGGUGGGGUAAUGGCCUACCUAGGCGACGAUGGUUAGCGGGUCUGAGAGGAUGAUCCGCCACACUGGCACUGGAACACGGGCCAGACUCCUACGGGAGGCAGCAGUGAGGAAUAUUGCGCAAUGGGGGAAACCCUGACGCAGCGACGCCGCGUGAGUGAGGAAAGGCCUUCGGGUCGUAAAGCUCUGUCAAGAGGAAAGAAGUGUACAAUGGCUAAUACCUGUUGUAUUUGACGGUACCUCUAAAGGAAGCACCGGCUAACUCCGUGCCAGCAGCAGC
rnacentral:rRNA from 1 species